rnacentral:rRNA from 1 species
GACGAACGCUGGCGGCGUGCCUAAUACAUGCAAGUAGAACGCACAGUUUAUACCGUAGCUUGCUACACCAUAGACUGUGAGUUGCGAACGGGUGAGUAACGCGUAGGUAACCUGCCUGGUAGCGGGGGAUAACUAUUGGAAACGAUAGCUAAUACCGCAUAAUAUUAAUUAUUGCAUGAUAAUUAAUUGAAAGGUGCAAUUGCGCCACUACCAGAUGGACCUGCGUUGUAUUAGCUAGUAGGUGAGGUAACGGCUCACCUAGGCGACGAUACAUAGCCGACCUGAGAGGGUGAUCGGCCACACUGGGACUGAGACACGGCCCAGACUCCUACGGGAGGCAGCAGUAGGGAAUCUUCGGCAAUGGACGAAAGUCUGACCGAGCAACGCCGCGUGAGUGAAGAAGGUUUUCGGAUCGUAAAGCUCUGUUGUAAGAGAAGAACGGGUGUGAGAGUGGAAAGUUCACACUGUGACGGUAUCUUACCAGAAAGGGACGGCUAACUACGUG